ensembl:lncRNA
GUCCCAAUACCUUGGCAUCGAGUCUAUGAACUGACAUAUAAAACAAUUAUUGACAUUAAUUUUAAUUUAAGCUAUUAUAAAAUACUUACUUCAAAAAGAAUGCUCAAUAUAUAUGGGCCAUUGGACAGUCAGCCUUGUGCACCCUCUGCCACGAGGAAAUAGAAUCAAUAGAACAGUCAGCCUUGUGCAGACUCUGCCACUAGGAAAUAGAAUCAAUAGAACAGUCAGCCUUGUGCAGACUCUGCCACUAGGAAAUAGAAUCAAUAGAACAGUCAGCCUUGUGCAGACUCUGCCACAAGGAAAUAGAAUCAAUAGAACAGUCAGCCUUGUGCACCUUCUGCCACGAGGAAAUAGAAUCAAUAGAACAGUCAGCCUUUUGCAGACUCUGCAACGAAGAAAUAGAAUCAAUAGAACAGUCAGCCUUGUGUAUACUCUGCCACGAGGAAACAGAAUACUGUCCAUCGGUGGCUCGCUUUGGAGUCAGGUCCAGGAAUGGUUAUGUCAUAUCAGGGUUCAGAUGGACAUGCCGACUAUUGUCAUGGCAUUGGAACAACCACGAUCAGUCAAUGGGGAAACAUCAUUGUAGUCUUGGGUAAAGUAUUUAUUUGCAGGGCAAUAUCGGUAGAAAUGUUACAAAUAGGGAGGUUCAGGAGCCUCGUAAGACAUCACAGUAAAAUGGAGGGAUGUAUUGCAGAAGGAAAUUGUUAUACUGUGAAAGAUGGGUUAAUCUGUGGACACCUUUAGGGUUGGCGUAAUACUGGGAAAGAUGGGUUAAUCUGGACACCUUUAGGGUUAGCGUAAAACUGGGAAAGAUGGGUUAAUCUGUGGACAUGGGAAGGUUGGUGUAAUACUGGGAAAGAUGGGUUAAUCUGUGGACACCGGAGGGUUAGUGUAAUACUGGGAAAGAUGGGUUAAUCUGUGGACAUGGGAAGGUUAGUGUAAUACUGGGAAAGAUGGGUUAAUCUGUGGACACCGGAGGGUUGGCGUUAAGAUCGGGAAGAAAAUGUGAAUUGGCUGCUGUGGGUGAAAAUCGAGCACUUGAAGAAAGAGUAAAUUAGAAAUAUAAAUGUAUAGUUAUUUAAUGACCGGUACUGUAGAUGUGAGUGAAACAGCAGUAAAUAGCAGAAGUAUUGUAGUCUGUUUAUUCCAAUUAGAGUAGGGAAAUGAACAAAUAAGGAGAUUGGAAAUGAUGCAGACAAUUUCAUGGAUAGAACCUACAUUCUAUCUGCAAUAUUAAAGCUGAUCUACCUGCCCCCCCCACAAAAAAAAUGGAAUUAAUGUUUUGCUCCAUGAGGUAAUCCAACAAUGUGUACACCACCAUCGUGCUCAUCUUCUCUCAUUGAUUAAGUCAGGUGGGUGUCCACCCUGUAGUGCCACAUGUCAUGAUGAAACUCACUUGACUUUGAAAUAGUCAAGAUGGUGGCGUACAGAUUGUUGGAUUACUUCAUAGAUCAAAAAAUGUAUAACAGCAUAUUCUAAAUUAAAACGAACUCCCUGCAACUAGAUAUGGUUGUUUUAGAAUACAUUUGGUCUUCCAAGUCAGGAAUUGAGGAAGUCUCGCCAAGUAAACGUUGGUUAAAUUCUAUGUGCUAUGCCAAACAGUACCUAACCUGUAACGGCUGAUGGAGCAUCACAUUAGCCAUUACAAUAUGCUAGCUAAACCACACCACUCCUGUUAUUCAAUCAACAAUCUGUUUACACUCACUGUCUGCUCCCACACACCUCCCAAAAAGGUAGAGUCCUUAUCCCAUUGCUUCAGGAGCAACGUCAUGGCAACGUCAUUUUGUGGGCGCUGUAUAACAUGCCCUACAGAUUCACCUGCUUUGAUGGCUCUCGCUAAUCACCAGACUGACUCCAGUGCUGCCUAGUCAUCUUUUUAUGUACAGGCUGGGGUUUCUCUAGGAUAUCGUACCUGUUCUAGUACCACGAGAGAAACCAUUUCCCCCUUUUUUUGUUGUUGACAAGCUUAGACUUUCAACAGAAGAGUUGUGGAUGGAUGCAUUUGUUGGAGUGGGAUAGUUGUAAUUUUUUCUCAUUUUGUUUCUGUAUAGUCGUGAUAAUACAUACUUGAAGUUGUAUGUACAAAUAAGACUGAGGAGAGUAACAGAUUACUACAAAACACUUAAUACUCUGUUCAUUUACAGCUAAAAAUCUCAUGUUUUUCAGUGUUAUGGCUGCAUUAGAAAUACAAUAAUGACCUUGCGGUCAUAGUCAAUGUGUACAACAGGUUUAUUUAUUUGCAGUCUUCUUCAGGACCUACUCAUUAACCCAUUGCAUCAAUACGAGAACAUGUUAUUGCUGUCCUUGGGGUAAUGACUCAGAAUUUAGCUUGAUUGAUGGCCCUUUGGUAAACAUGAUACAGAUAAAUAAAUCCCAAUUAAAAUCAGUGGACGGCCAUGGCUAAAUAUGAAUGAUAUGUGUUUGAUGUGUCGUCUUCGGACUUGUGUGAUACAAGGAAAGCUUGGAAGACUUAUAAAUCUACGGUAAAAUGUGAAUGAAAGUUUUCUCUUGUGUGAUGUUGCGCUAUAGCUGCCUGUUAAGACACCAGAGAACAACUGUACAGUUUUUUUUAUGUAGAUACAAAAUGUCAGAUUUCCCUAUGGUGUAGAAUGCGUGGCUCUUGGGAAUGUGACAAUGUGCAUGUUUACCGUCACGAUACACUAAAAGAUAUGAGUAUGAGUGACUCUUGUGUCUUUUUGAAAAUGAUCUCCUGUUGACGCCUUAUAACAAAACCUAUUGCCUCUUCCAAUAUGGCAGUUGUUCUUUUUAUUUAUUGGUUGGUGUGCCGUAACUUUCCACUGUUUUUGUCUUUUUCCUCAGUUUGCCCCACCUCUUGAGCCCCUAAACUUUUACGCAACCACCCAUAGGCACAUUGUAUCUGUCCCAUUAUGGCGUCUGUGAGAGCACCGGCAGCGCCAUUGAGGCCAUCUCCAUUUUGAAGUAGUCAAUUUUGUCAUUCUCCUUCUAUGAGUUGGCAAACAAACUGAAAGGGUGCACACUGCCAUCUAGAGUGUGUUUGAACAGGUAUAAAGACUAGAUUCGGCUAUUUACUGCCACCUGCAGUUAUGGAAUGUUUUCUCACAAGUAUAAUUCAUUGGCUGAUCCCUCCUGGUGACCUGGAUUUAAUUAUGUGAUCCUUCCUUAAGCCAUAGGAAUCCCCACCCAGAUUACUACUUUAAAAUGCUGGGAGCCCUCAAUGGCAAUGUCCAUGAAAAAAUAGGUUUUCUACAUCUAGAGACCUCUCAUUCUCUUUGUCAACAACCACACUUUUGACAUUUGCAUACAUCAAGUGACUGACUUGACUGCUUUGGGAGCCAGUCAUGUGUCAUUUCUUCUCCUUUAUCAUGAAACUUCUCCCCCUUCACAGAAGAAAUGCUUCUCCACUCAUUUUGAGUUCUUAUCAUAUCAGGAUAAGAUAAUUAUAUUACUCUACUCUUUGUUGAGAUGUGUGAAUACCAACUUGCGUCUAGGCAGUGGAACUGUAGUUUAGUUUGCAGUGAAAGCGAGGUCCCACAAAGUUAUCUAUGGGGUGAGAUAAGGACACCCAGCUGUGUGUUAAGGUCUGUAUCUCGUCUGUUUUUUUUCUUCAGUGUCUGGCUCCUCUUAGGUCUUUUAACAAAUAUUCCCAUUUUAAGUGUGCAAAAUCGAGAGAAUCAAAGCUUUGAGCUGAGCAUUUCACAAAGUAUGCUUCAGAUGUAUUUUAUUUUUUAAGGUUUAGCAUUACUCAUGUGGUCAAGAGUCUGUCUUUACAGGCGUUUUGUGAACCCCAUAGGGAAUGGAACCAGAGCAGUUAUUACUAUUCUUGGUGCACCGGUGUUCCUAUUGAUAGAAAGGGAUCUUUACUGAGCAUUUCAAUCACCAGCUUUGUUUUUAUUCUGCUUUGCGCCAUUUUUGUUUUGGAUAACUAUUGACCAUGCCACAUAAUGGUCUCUGAUAAUAUGCCCGCCAUACUUGUCAGUUUUAUUCUGCCAAAUGGAAGAAAGAGCUCUUUGUCUGUCUUGUUUUGAAACGUAAAUAAAGAUGGGCUGAUGUUUUAAAGUCCAGACUUAUUCUUUAUCAUCCACUUUGAUAGUUGACCAUUGUUCAAAAACUCUUGUUUCUGACUUUAACAAUGUUGUAAUAUAUACACUGCUCAAAAAAAUAAAGGGAACACUAAAAUAACACAUCCU